UGUUAAGAACAUUAAUAAACACCCCACCAAAGCAAGUACAAAAGCCACUGCCACCCUUCCCUCUGGGUUUUUAGCAAUUUUCGUAAUUUACAAGCGUAACUUUUUCAUUCACUUUCAGCUACUCAUCACUUAAGCUGAUGCUGCAUUCCUCAAUAUUUUCGGUUGCCACCUUCUGGCUCUUGCUGUUCCUCUUCUGCACCGAUUAUAGCUAAAGCUGCUGUUGUCGACACACACUCACACGAAAAGCUAAGAAGUAUUCUUCUGCUUAGUCUGUCACUUUUUUCCCUUUCUUUGUUUGCAUUUUCGCCUUGUAAUUUUCAUAACAAUUUGUGUCUUACAAAUUUGGUUUUUGCCCAACUUGAGCAGCCGCAGCUAGCCGCGUCCCUAACUGUAAGCUACAAACAAAUGGCGAUAGCUUAACUUCUACGACAGUCCUUUGCACUCCUCUUUUACCUCACUAGAAUUCCUCCGACUGUACUUCGGCCUGUCUCUACCUUAUUUGGAUGCUUAUGAGUUUAAGUAAAGUUGCUACCUUUUAUUGCGGAUAACUUUUGUAAUUCCCAAAAUAUUUUGCUACUUGGGUUUUCCAAACGUAACACACUCACAAGCUGUAGCUCAACUCGGGCAGCAAAUGUGCACUGUUACAAAUAUCCAAAAGCGUGUAUGUGCAUGUAAAUGUGUGCAUGUGCAGGACAGACUCUUAAGCAAAGUGCAAUAAGUGAAUUUUUUAAAUUUUUUCCCCAAAUUUUUCGGUAAUUGUUUUUCUUGUUUCUUGCUUAAGAGUGAAGAUAAAACUCAACACAUGUUAAAAUUUUUAUUGUAAUUUUGCUUCUUCUCACUUCUCUGAGCUGUUAUUCACAUUCUCUCGAAAUUUUCAUUAUUUUUGCCUCCAGCAGAGCAGAGGUUCUGCAAAAGUUUUAUUGCUUCACUUCCCCAAAUAAGACAGCAAUUUUUUUAGAAAGUGUUAAUAUGUAAAUUAAGCAAGGCGGGAGGAGUUGGAAACGGCUCAAAUUUCUACGAAUUAAUUUCGGUACAAGAAUAUACAAAUUUACACACAACAGAUGUACAAGGAAAGAGAAGGCUGCAGCGAAAUCGUAAUUGAUGGCUACGGGGAAAAAAGAAAAACAAUCAGAGCCCGAACAUAGAAUUUAUUGUGCAAUGAAGCAAAGCGUGAAAAAAGUUGAAUUUUUUCUAGACUUAUUAAAAUAAGAAAGGGAAGUGAACGACAUAUUGAAAUGCCAUUUUUGAACACAAAAAAUAUUUGUUGUUUUAAAAAAAAAUAUUCAAUUUUUGCUGUUUUUGGAUUUUCCCAUAUUUGCUUUAAAUAUAAAAUUAAUUAAUCGUCUUGUUGGAGACGACGUAGAAUGCGUUUAGCAAGCCUGCUUUUGAGACGGCUAGGACAACAGGAUAUCCCACUGUAAGCAGAGUUCCUACCGAAUGGCACUGCACAACCCCUGAUGCGAAUGGUAGGUGCUUGAAAGGCUUUCCGACAAAUGGUGAGACGACCGGUUUCUAACUGCUUCCAGUUCAUGUCAAAAAAACAUUGGUGGGCUUAACGUUUCCUGCCGAAGGGCGACCACAAUGAGUUAAUUGUAUUUUAGCAGUCCCCUAUCCAAGUAUUUGAUUGAUAAAGAUAAAAAGGUUUCAAGCUUCCAGUUCCAGUUUCGGCUGAGCAACACAAAAAGUAACUCCAAUACUUACGGAAUAAUUCUUGGGUUCGAUGGAUGGAUGGUGACUUUUUGUUAUCUAUCGAUGAAAUUGGUAUAUCGAACCUCUUGAUAAGGAUUUUUCUCUUCGAUGUAUGGCAGUAGAUGGAUUUCAAUUAACUUAACUACAUGGACUGAAAGCCAGUUUACAAACCGUACCACUGUUUAAAUGGUUAGUAGCUUAUUUAGAGGUAUUCCAGAAUCUUAAAUGUCCCUCUUGGAUCUCAACAAUUGCUGUACCAUAGACAUAUCUGCCUUCAUACGUCUUUUAAAAUGUGUGCAAAUAACUUAUCUACCGAGCAAGCGCGAUAUGAACUCCUUCAACAAAGACUCGUAGAGUUAUCCUAUAUAUCAUAUUUAUCAAUGUGCAAGUGAUUAAUAAAGCAGCACCAAGAGCUAAAA
rnacentral:lncRNA from 1 species